UUGUCACAAUUCUCAAAAGUAAAAGUAUUUUUUUAGAUUUAUCAUUAAAAAUAUAAAUGUAAAUCAUAACAAUACGUUAGUAUGGUUUAAUGUAAAUUAUUAUAGUGUUUUAUUCUUUAUAAAGUCAACAUGGAUACGGAAAACGAAGAAUCAAAUGAAUCUUGGUUAGUAGUUCCAAAUAAAAUUGAUGAAAACGUCAAAUCUGAUGAAGGAAGUAAUGGUAUUCAAAAGAAAGAUGCAAUAAUAAACGCUGCAGAAGCAUCAGAACUUAGUUUUGAGAAAAUUCCAGAGUCUGAUGAAGAACGUAUCAAACGAAUACAAAUAGAAAGGGCACUAGAAGACAGUUCAUCUAAUUUGGAAACAUGGAGGAAAUUUGCAAUAUCUACACAUGGCCUCAUUAGUGAUGAUUUGCGGAGAAGAGUGUGGCCCCUCUUGCUUGGUGUUGUACCUGCUCUAGCAGCACCUGUUCCUACUUUAGAAGAACUGCAAUCUCAUCCUGAAUAUACACAAGUUGUGCUUGAUGUAAAUAGAUCACUGAAACGAUUUCCUCCAGGUAUACCUUAUGAGCAGAGAGUAGCUUUACAAGAUCAAUUAACUGUGUUAAUUCUUCGAGUUAUAACAAAAUAUCCACAUUUGAAAUAUUAUCAGGGUUACCAUGAUGUUGCUGUGACCUGUUUACUUGUUGUGGGGGAUCGUGUUGCUUUUCAUAUGAUGGAAGUACUCUCAACAGGUCAUUUAGAAGAAUGCAUGGGCCCCACUAUGGAGCCUACACAGCGACGUUUGAUGUAUAUAUAUCCUAUAAUCAAUAAAGAACAUCCACAGUUAUGUGAAUUCCUUGAAAGGUCCACUGUGGGAACAAUGUUUGCAUUACCGUGGUAUUUGACAUGGUUUGGUCACAGUUUACCUUAUUAUAGAACGGUUGUGAGACUGUUUGAUUAUUUUUUGGCGUCAACACCAUUAUUUCCAUUAUAUGUUGCAGCUGCUAUUGUACUUCACAGAGUGGAUGAAAUCUUUGAACAAGAUUGUGACAUGGCUAGCCUGCAUUGUCUACUUUCAAAUUUACCAGAUGAUUUACCUUUUGAAAAACUCCUCAUUUCUGCUGCAAAGCUAUAUGAAAAAUAUCCACCAGAAGAGCUUGAAAAAGAUGUGCAAAUAAUGAUGGAUAAAGAGCGUGAUCAACGAUUGAAAGAACAGCAAGCCAGACUGAACCGUUUAAAAUACACAGAUCCCCGUCAUAAAGGAACAGUUAAUCGUUGGUGGGGUUCCUUUAGAGGUCCAAUGAAAUAUUUAUUAGUAUCAGCAAGCAUUUUGAUGGGAAUCUAUGCUUAUUAUAGAAGUCAGGAUACUAUUAAUAGGAGGCGCACCAUGGACAAAGCCCACAUUCUUGAAAUAUCUGCCAAUUACAAUGUUUUCUAGCAGUUUGCGUGUUUGAAUCAUGGCAUGUUUUAUAACUUGAGUCACAUGUUUAUCGAAUGUAAUGUGCCUGAGGAUAUUUAUGUUGCAAGAAAAUUGAGAAAUAUUCGGUUGAUGACAACAAAUGCUAAACGGCGAAUAGAAAUAAUUAAACAGAACUUAAUUUAAAUGAGAGUAAGUCUUUGUGAUGAUUUUCUUGGGUG